rnacentral:rRNA from 1 species
GUCCACGCCGUAAACGAUGAUUACUGGUUGUGUGCGAUAUACAGUGCGCGACUGAGGGAAACCAUUAAGUAAUCCACCUGGGGAGUACGUUCGCAAGAAUGAAACUCAAAGGAAUUGACGGGGGCCCGCACAAGCGGAGGAACAUGUGGUUUAAUUCGAUGAUACGCGAGGAACCUUACCUGGGCUUAAAUGUAGAGUGCAUGGCUUGGAAACAGGCCUUUCCUUCGGGACUCUUUACAAGGUGCUGCAUGGUUGUCGU